GAGUUUGAUCAUGGCUCAGAUUGAACGCUGGCGGCAUGCCUUACACAUGCAAGUCGAACGCGAAAGCGGGGCAACCCGCAAGUAGAGUGGCGAACGGGUGAGUAAUACAUCGGAACGUACCCAGUAGCGGGGGAUAACCUCUCGAAAGAGAGGCUAAUACCGCAUACGUCCUACGGGAGAAAGAGGGGGAUCGCAAGACCUCUCACUAUUGGAGCGGCCGAUGUCGGAUUAGCUAGUUGGUGGGGUAAAAGCUCACCAAGGCGACGAUCCGUAGCUGGUCUGAGAGGACGACCAGCCACACUGGAACUGAGACACGGUCCAGACUCCUACGGGAGGCAGCAGUGGGGAAUUUUGGACAAUGGGCGAAAGCCUGAUCCAGCCAUGCCGCGUGGGUGAAGAAGGCCUUCGGUUGUAAG
rnacentral:rRNA from 1 species